rnacentral:lncRNA from 1 species
CCCCUCUGGGGGCUGCCUUCCCACUCAUGGGAUUAUGAGCUCUCAGCUGCAGAGAUGCUUUCUGUCUUUGGUCUACACUGUGCACCACUGUGAGGUGCAUUUCCAGUACGCACCAAUGGAUGCUAAGCAGGACACAGCUGGGAUUGUUGCUGGGGCACCCUGACUUAACCACGCCACCUGAGAACUCCUGAUGGUCCACCUCAGGAAGUCCACCUGGAGCCCAUGUCGUCCCAGAGCAUCAGGGUCACCUGGAAGAGCCCGGAUAUUAAGAAAACCGAAGAAGAGCGUUGUGUUUGCUCCUUGUGCUAAAUACACUCCCUGAAGUUCCUGCCUGUUGCUUUGCACAGCUGAUGGGAUGAUAACAAGAAAUCCCGUCUCAUUGAUAGUGAUUAGAACACGGACUUUAGAAAAUAGGGCAGUCGUCCACUUCUGGGAGUUGAGUCUAAUAAUUAAACUUAGAAACCGAACCUACAUGACAAAGCUCCUUAACGCAGACCCGUGAGGAGAAAU